rnacentral:rRNA from 1 species
UGGGGAAUUUUGGACAAUGGGGGAAACCCUGAUCCAGCCAUCCCGCGUGUGCGAUGAAGGCCUUCGGGUUGUAAAGCACUUUUUGCAGGAAAGAAACGUCAUGGGUUAAUACCCCGUGAAACUGACGGUACCUGCAGAAUAAGCACCGGCUAACUACGUGCCAGCAGCCGCGGUAAUACGUAGGGUGCAAGCGUUAAUCGGAAUUACUGGGCGUAAAGCGUGCGCAGGCGGUUCGGAAAGAAAGAUGUGAAAUCCCAGAGCUCAACUUUGGAACUGCAUUUUUAACUACCGGGCUAGGGUGUGUCAGAAGGAGGUGGAAUUCCGCGUGUAGCAGUGAAAUGCGUAGAUAUGCGGGGGAACACCGAUGGCGAAGGCAGCCUCCUGGGAUAACACUGACGCUCAUGCACGAAAGCGUGGGGGGCAAACAGG